UACGUAGGGACCAAGCGUUGUUCGGAUUUACUGGGCGUAAAGGGUGCGUAGGCGGCAAUUCAAGUCAGUUGUGAAAUCUCCGAGCUUAACUCGGAACGGUCAACUGAUACUGUUUGCUAGAGUACAGAAGGGCAAUCGGAAUUCUUGGUGUAGCGGUGAAAUGCGUAGAUAUCAAGAGGAACACCUGAGGUGAAGACGGGUUGCUGGGCUGAUACUGACGCUGAGUCACGAAAGCUAGGGUAGCAAACGGG
rnacentral:rRNA from 1 species